GACGAACGCUGGCGGCGUGCUUAACACAUGCAAGUCGAACGGAAAGGCCCUGCUUUUGUGGGGUGCUCGAGUGGCGAACGGGUGAGUAACACGUGAGUAACCUGCCCUUGACUUUGGUAUAACUUCAGGAAACUGGGGCUACUACCGGAUAGGAGCUCCUGCUGCAUGGUGGGGGUUGGAAAGUUUCGGCGGUCGGGGAUGGACUCGCGGCUUAUCAGCUAGUUGGUGGGGUAGUGGCUUACCCAGGCUUUGACGGGUAGCCGGCCUGGGAGGGUGACCGGCGACAUUGGGACUGCGAUACGGCCCAGACUCCUACGGGAGGCAGCAGUGGGGAAUAUUGCACAAUGGGCGGAAGCCUGAUGCAGAAACGCCGCGUGCGGGAUGACGGCCUUCGGGUUGUAAACCGCUUUCGCCUGUGACGAAGCGUGAGUGACGGUAAUGGGUAAAGAAGCACCGGCUAACUACGUG
rnacentral:rRNA from 1 species